UUUCCUCUCGUCGAUCAAUGUCCAUGUUCUGUCUUGUAUUCACCGUUUCUUUUGUGAAUCUUGCAUGUAAACAAAAUACACUUUUGCUGGACUACUUACAGAGGCAGGUAAACAAAA